CUCUCCAAGCUCGCCUACAGCGGAAAGCAGGGGUAAGAUGAACACACUCCACCCCUUUCCUUCUCAACCAAGCAGAUCAGCCCCAAGCCCGAUGAGCUGGUCGGGGCUGCUUGGGUUUGAAUGACGUGUGGUUUGAAUGCCCGGAACGGGCGGCUGUGACAGUGCUCACGUCAAAAGGACUGACAUGGCUGGCCAGCUUUCUGGUACUUUCCAGGCUGUUAGAGUGUGGCUAGGAGUGAGGGUCUCUGGGUCUAGCCCUCAGUCCUGCCACUCUCUGGCCGUGUGACAGCGGCCAAUGGUUUCACCUUUCUGAGCCUCGUUUUCUCCCUAUGAAGUGCGGUUCAUGUGUGGGCCUCCCUCAUAGGUGGUUUGGGGUUGUUUUUUUUUUUUGAGAUGGAGUCUUGCUUUGUUGCCCAGGCUGGAGUGCAGUGGUGCAGUCUCGGCACACUGUGACCUCCACCUCCUGGAUUCAAGUGAUUCUCCUGCCUCAGCCUCCCGAGCAGCUGGGACUACAGGCAUGUGCCACCACACCUAGCUAAUUUUUUGUAUUUUAGUAGAGAUGGGGUUUUACUAUGUUAACCAGGCUGGUCUUGAACUCCUGACCUCAGGUGAUCCGCCCGCCUCGGCCUCCCAAAGUGCUGGGAUUAGUGGUGUGAGCCACCUUGCCCGGCCCCUCAUAGGUGGUUUUAAACCAUGAGAAGCUCUCAGAACAGCUCCGGGCACACGGCAUAUGUGGUGCUGCUUAUAAUGACCUUUACAUGACCCUGUCAGUGAGGCCCCAUUCACAGGUGGGUACACAGAGGCUGAGAAGGGAAAGGCAACUGCCCUAAGCUACAUCUUCCGGGAGAAACAGCUGCUGGGAAGAGUUUAGCCUCAUCAAGGCUUCCAUAGCUGAUAAAACAGAAACCUGCAGGAAUGAAGGAGCAACAGCGGCUCCCUUGUCCUGGCUUGUGCCCUGGGCUUAGAAAUCUCCAAAGCCCACCCUGAAAACCUCUCUGGGUGGCUGUCCCCAGCCUGCCCAAUGCAGAUGCCUCUUGGAGGGGUAAACUGCCGGUGUGAAGCAGGGCUGCCCUCCCUCCCUAGCACGCUGGACUUCUGCUCACACCUUCCCUCUCUCAGACUGGGGGUCCCCUCCCCUCCCUGGGGUCCUCGGGGGGCUGAGGUGCUGGGGGGUGCCAUUCUCGCUCACCACUGAGGAGCAGCCAGCUGUACCCAGUCAGCGCCAUCUUUCACCCCAAACCGAGUCUUGGAGAUGGUGGCGUUGAAGUCCCAGUGCUCGGACUCCCUUCCUGGUUGGGGCUCGGCUCCGUCUGCCGCAGGACCUGGGAGGGUUUGGUGAUUUGGAGCCAGGGGAGAUCACCUGAAUUUGGAGGGAUCGAGUCACCAAGGAUCUGGGGCCCGGUUUGGGUACCAGGGUGGGUGUGGCGGGCACCGGCCAGAGGCCGUGACCUGGGCAGGCCUCCUGGGGCAGCCGCCUAACCCUCUUUGUGCCGAGGGCCUGGAUUUGGUACUGGGAGAGGAACCAGGUCACCGAGGAGAAGAGAGGAAAAGUAGGGGAAGGUUUUCGGGUAGUUCUUACCAACCACCCAGGCCCGUGGCCUCCUCAGAGAGCCUGGGAGUCACCAAGGAAGAAAAUCAGUAAAAGGUGACUGCACCUUUCCCAGCCCCACCCAGUGCAGGGGACCUACAGGUGUUGUCUCAGCGGAUGGCAAAACAACCCUGUAAAGUGGGCACCUUUAGGACCCCCCUUUGCAGAUGGAGAUGAGCUAGGUGGGGACUCCCACUUGUCCGGGUUCCUGCAGGGAGAGGGGAUUUGAGCCCUGCUCUGUGUGCAAACCCAGACAGAAGGGCAGGAAACUGUAUGGCCACAUGCUUUCUUUGGGGCUCUCCUUCUUGUUGGCUUCCUGCAAAGUGCUCAGAAGUUCACAUUCUCUUUCUCCCACUUCGGAGGCCUUGUUUUCCCCUCUCUGUCAAAUGGGCGUAUUCGGAGGCUUUGGGGCCAAGGAGAGCUGAGUUUUGACACCAGCUCUGCACUUACCCAAAGUGGGGCUGGGGACAGUCCCUUGUUGAGUCUCCAUUUAUUAUUCUGAUAAAUAGAGAUGAUGGCCGGGUGCACUGGCUCAUGCCUGUCAUCCCAGCACUUCGGGAGGCCAAGGCAGGCGGAUCAUUUGAGGUCAGGAGUUCGAGAUCAGCCUGGCCAACAUGGCGAAACCCCAUCUCUACUAAAAAUAAUAAUAAUAAAAAUAGCCAGGCGUGGUGGCAGGUGCCUGUAGUCCCAGCACUUUGGGAGGCUGAGAUGGGCAGAUCACCUGAGGUGAGGAGUUUGCAACCAGCCUGACCAACAUGGCGAAACCCCGUCUCUAUUAAAAAUAUAAGUUAGCUGGGUGUGGUGGCUAACGCCUGUAAUCCCAACACUUUGGGAGGCCAAGGCAGGUGGCUCACGAGGUCAGGAGUUCGAGACCAGCCUGGCCAAUAUGGUGAAACCUCGUAUGUACUAAAAAUAUAAAAAAUUAGCUGGGUGUGGUGGUGUGCACCUGUAGUCCCAGCUACUCGAGAGGCUGAGGCAGGAGAAUCUCUUGAACCCAGGAGGUGGAGGUUGCAGCGAGCUGAGAUCACACCACUGCACUCCAGCCUGGGUGACAGAGUGAGACUCUAUCUCAAAAAACAAAAGCAAAAACAAAAAAUAAAAGUUAGCCGGUCAUGGUGGCACAUGCCUGUAAUCCCAGCUACUAGGGAGGCUGAGGUAGGAGAAUCGCUUGAAUCCAGGAGGUAGAGGUUGCAGUGAGCCGAGAUCCUGCCACUGCACUCCAGCCUGGGUGACAGAGCAAGACUCCAUUUCAAAAACAAACAAAAAAAUAGAGAUGAUAUGGACCCUACUUCAGGUUUGUUGACAGCAGUUAGUGAGAGGCUACAAGUCAGGGAUUUAAGCCAGAGCCUGGUGGACGUGGGUCUGAUUGGUAUGCCUGUUAUUAAAAGUAUAGGCUCUGGCCGGGCGUGGUGGCUCAUGGCCGGACGCAGUGGCUCAUGCCUGUAGUCCUAGCACUUUGGGAGGCCGAGGUGGGUGGAUCAACUGAGGUCAGGAGUUCAAGACCAGCCUGGCCAGCAUGGUGAAACCCUGUCUCUACUAAAAAUACAAAAAUUAGCUGGGUGUGGUCGCGGGCACCUGUAAUCCCAGCUACUUGGGAGGCUGAAGCAGGAGAAUUGCUUGAACCCUGGGCAAAAGAGUGAAACUCCAUCUCAAAAAAAAAAAAGUAUAGGCUCUGGACAUAGUUCCACUGUUUCCUACCUCCAGGACCCUGGGCAAUUUAUGGACUCUGCCAAGCCUCAGUUUCCUUAUUUGUAAAAUAGGGAAAACAAUAGUACUCACAUCACAGGGCUGUUGAAAGGAUUAAGUAGAUACACAUGUGAAGUACAGUACUUACCACGACUGGCGCAGAGUAAAUGCUCAGUAAAUCACUCAUUCACUUAUUGGACAAAUACUGAAUGAGCACCUAUUGUUUGCCAGGUGCUGUUCUAGGCGCUGAGGAUGCAGCCGUGCACAAGACGGAUGAAAUCCCUGCCCUCAGGGGGCCGACAUUUGCGGAGUAAAUAAAGGAAAGGUAAAUAUCUUCCACGUCAGAUUGAAAAAUAAAGUCAGAAAGGGGA
rnacentral:lncRNA from 1 species